UCCAGACUCCUACGGGAGGCAGCAGUGGGGGAUAUUGCACAAUGGGGGGAACCCUGAUGCAGCGACGCCGCGUGGGUGAAGGAGCGUUUCGGCGCGUAAAGCCCUCUCGGCAGGGAAGAAGGAGGACGGUACCUGACUAAGAAGCCCCGGCUAACUACGUGCCAGCAGCCGCGGUAAUACGUAGGGGGCAAGCGUUAUCCGGAUUUACUGGGUGUAAAGGGGGCGCAGACGGCAGCGCAAGCCAGGAGUGAAAGCCCGGGGCCCAACCCCGGGACUGCUCUUGGAACUGCGCGGCUGGAGUGCAGGAGGGGCAGGCGGAAUUCCUGGUGUAGCGGUGAAAUGCGUAGAUAUCAGGAGGAACACCGGUGGCGAAGGCGGCCUGCUGGACUGCGACUGACGUUGAGGCCCGAAAGCGUGGGGAGCAAACAGGAUUAGAUACCCUCGUAAC
rnacentral:rRNA from 1 species